CAAAAUGAUAGAAAAGAUAGUCUGCAAAAAAUUGCAAGCCAAAGAGAAGAUUUAGAGUAUGAUAAAUCAAUUUCAGCAUGUGAAACAUAAAGGGAGAGAUUUCUGGGUAAACAUGGAAGGUCAAACACUAUACCUUCCUAAACUAAAUUUAAUGACAAUCUAUUAGUUUUCCGUUGCUGUUGGAAUAAAUUACCACAAAUUUAGUGAUUUAAACAACACAGAUAUAUUUUUUCCUGAAGGUUCUAGGGGAGAAUCCAUUUUCUUGUACUUUCCAGCUUCUAGAGGGUCUAGAGGACACCCAUUCCUUGACUCAUGGCCCCCUGACUGUAUCUUCAAAGCAGAAGCUAGGUUCAUCUCCUGACAGGCUGAAUCAGAAAGACUCCAGAUUCGGGGACUCCAAGCACAGCCGGACUAUGAGGUAUCAUGCUGAGGCAGGAAGUUUUAAAGGAGCAAAAACACCUGGGCAGAAAUAAGCGCACACAAACGUAGUUAACUUAUCUUUGACGAAGGAGCAAAGACAAUAUAAUGGAGGAAACAUAGUCUUUUCAACAAAUGGUGCUGUCAAUAUAUACUCCCACCAACACUAUAGGGGUAUACAAGAAGGUAAUCAAUAAAAGACUUUCAAAAAUAAAAAUGUAACACGUCAGAACAAAAUUCACUCUGGGAUCCAGUAUGAUGGAACAAUCUUUAUCUAGAUUGUUACCAGAGGGAACAGAAUGCUGCUUUCCCUUUGAGUUGACUCAACGUUUCUGUUCAGAAGUGACCGUCACCUUUUCUCACGUUUCAUUGGCCAAAGCAGAUCACAAAGCUGACGUUAAUGCUCGACUGUUCCCAAGAGGAGAAGUGAAUAUUUUUGAAUAAUAAUAUAAUCUCACACAGAUGUCAGCUUAAAAAUACAUGGAUACAUACAUUUUCAAAGUUAUUUCAGCAGAUAUAUGAGCAAAAACUUUGAAGACUACUGAGUUACAGCAAAUAACACCGUCUUAUU
rnacentral:lncRNA from 1 species